AACCACUUCGUGUCAUUUUUUCUGCAAGUUAAAACAGCCCGUACAGUUCAUCUAGAUAGAACUCUCCUCUCACGGCGUGCAAUCCCCACCAAGCUUCUCAUCCACAUGCGUCAAUGGUGGGCAUCAGGAAACUAAUCCCCAGUCUGUGCAUGGAUCUCGACGACCUCGUAGAUGGCGAGGGGGAGUGCGGGAUGCGCUGCUCAAACUUCUCAUGUCCGGAGGCUCGCGGCGGUGGCGGAGGUUCUGGAUCUUGGUGGCGUGGCGGAGGUACUGGGGUAGCUCCCGGAUGGGAGAAUAUGAGCAAGAUGUGACCAACAUCUGUGGGCGGCUGCUUAGUUGUUGCCCUGAUAGCUGGUGAUGUUGGACUCCUACCAAAUGUGAGAAGCAGUUGGGCAUGACUUUGUUGGAUGUCGAGUUUUAGGCCGCAUGAAGUGUCUGGCCUUGCUUCAUCAGACAUCGAGCUACACGGCCCGUGGUGGUUUUUACUGACUAAUACUUGUGGGGCUUCCUUCGCGCUUCGUCUUACCGGCAUACUUCGAUGUUCUUGGUGGCUUGUUUGAGUUGCCCUUUUUCCUGACUACUACCUCUUGGAUGUCUACUUGUGUGGCUGGUCAUCAAAAGUCGCUCUAGUUCUUGCAGGCCAUAGUAUUUUUCCUUAAAAUCUAUAGGAAUUAGUUGUCAAUUGAUAAAGUACAUAUGAAGAUGUUAUACAGAAUAAGUGAAUUUACUUACUAAACUUGAUGAUUCAGAUCA